UACGUAGGGUGCGAGCGUUGUCCGGAAUCACUGGGCGUAAAGCGCACGUAGGCGGCUUCUUAAGUCAGGGGUGAAAUCCUGGAGCUCAACUCCAGAACUGCCUUUGAUACUGAGAAGCUUGAGUCCGGGAGAGGUGAGUGGAACUGCGAGUGUAGAGGUGAAAUUCGUAGAUAUUCGCAAGAACACCAGUGGCGAAGGCGGCUCACUGGCCCGGUACUGACGCUGAGGCGCGAAAGCGUGGGGAGCAAACAGG
rnacentral:rRNA from 1 species